rnacentral:lncRNA from 1 species
GAGAGAUCUUCACGACCUUUAUUGCACAGACUGGGAGAGAGGAGCAGGGUUAUACCUCCCAACCCCACCAUCCUCUUCAUUUAAAGCAUCAGCCUCCUCCCCUGCCAUUUCUGUUCAGGGAGGCACAGUGUUCCCCAUCUGUCCAGGGCUGCAGGUCCGGCAGCGGGGCCCCGUCCCAGCUCCCCAGGCCUGGUGAGCUCCAGGCUAGCCUGUGCACUGUCCUCUGAGUCCAGGCCCUUGUAGGUCCCCAAGAUGGUGGGGGUGCAGGGACAGAGAGCUUGCUGUUCUGCUCCUGAUGUCACACAGGGGCUUCCUGUGUGUCCUGGCAUCAAGAUGGCCUUCCACAAGUCAAGUGGCCACAUCCUCAAGGAGCUGGCUCAGCCACUCACAGCUCCUCCCGAACCCGA